rnacentral:rRNA from 1 species
GAUGAACGCUGGCGGCGUGCCUAAUACAUGCAAGUCGAGCGAACGGACGAGAAGCUUGCUUCUCUGAUGUUAGCGGCGGACGGGUGAGUAACACGUGGAUAACCUACCUAUAAGACUGGGAUAACUUCGGGAAACCGGAGCUAAUACCGGAUGAUAUUUUGAACCGCAUGGUUCAAAAGUGAAAGACGGUGUUGCUGUCACUUAUAGAUGGAUCCGCGCUGCAUUAGCUAGUUGGUAAGGUAACGGCCUACCAAGGCAACGAUGCAUAGCCGACGUGAGAGGGUGAUCGGCCACACUGGAACGGAGACACGGUCCAGACUCCUACGGGAGGCAGCAGUAGGGAAUCUUCCGCAAUGGGCGAAAGCCUGACGGAGCAACGCCGCGUGAGUUAUGAAGGUCUUCGGAUCGUAAAACUCUGUUAUUAGGGAAGAACAUAUGUGUAAGUAACUGUGCACAUCUUGACGGUACCUAAUCAGAAAGCCACGGCUAACUACGUG